AUGGUUGUCGUCGACCGUUUCACCAAGUACGCACACUUCGUGCCCCUUCGUCAUCCCUUCACGGCAGCAACGGUGGCCCGUGCUUUCUGGGACAACAUCAUCAAGCUGCACGGAGUUCCUCAUUCCAUCGUCUCCGACCGGGAUAGCAUCUUCACCAGUAACAUGUGGCGUGCCAUCCUCGCAACUGCGGGCACCAAGCUGAGUUACUCCACGGCGUACCAUCCGCAGACGGACGGGCAAAGCGAGCGCGUGAACUAGUGCCUCGAGAUGUACCUGCGCUGCGCCAUCCACGACACACCCUCCAAAUGGCGCAAGUGGCUGCCGACGGCGGAAUUCUGGUACAACACUAUGUACCACUCUUCAUUAAACACUUCCCCUUUCCAAGCAUUGUAUGGGAAGGAGCCCAACCUGGGAGGUCUGUCGACGUUCACCGCCAACCUACCAACAGAAGCCGAGGAGGAGCUGGACUGGGCUCAACACACCGAGGCACUGCGCGUGCAGCUAGCGCGCGCCCAGAACAGGUUCAAGCAGAAAGUAGACAAGAACCGGACCGAGUGCUCCUUCAGCGAGGGGGAUCAAGUUCUUCUCAAGCUACAACCAUACGUGCAGUCGACAGUGGCCAAUCGCCCCUGCCCCAAGCUCACUUACAAGUUCUUCGGCCCCUUCACAAUUCUGCAACGCAUUGGCACCAUGCUUACAAGCUCCAGCUACCAGAAGGUAGUCGUAUCCAUCCUGUCUUCCACGUGUCACAACUGA
rnacentral:rRNA from 1 species